GACGAUGGGAACAUUUGAAACCCUUGCUUCGAUAGCUAGAAAGCAAGGUUUUAAACAGUUGUUUUCAGGUCUAAGCAUCAACUAUUUGAAGGUUGUACCAUCAGUAGCAAUUGGGUUUACCGUUUAUGAUGUAAUGAAAUCGUACCUAAGAGUUCCAUCCCGAGAUGAAGCCAUGGUAGAAGUGGUAACAAAUAAAAGAAACAUCCAAU
rnacentral:misc_RNA from 1 species